AACGAACGCUGGCGGCAGGCUUAACACAUGCAAGUCGAACGCACCUUUCGGGGUGAGUGGCAGACGGGUGAGUAACGCGUGGGAAUCUACCCUUCUCUACGGGAUAGCUCCGGGAAACUGGAAUUAAUACCGUAUACGUCCUGAGGGAGAAAGAUUUAUCGGGGAAGGAUGAGCCCGCGUUGGAUUAGCUAGUUGGUGGGGUAAAGGCCUACCAAGGCGACGAUCCAUAGCUGGUCUAAGAGGAUGAUCAGCCACAUAGGGACUGAGACACGGCCCAAACUCCUACGGGAGGCAGCAGUGGGGAAUGUUGGACAAUGGGCGCAAGCCUGAUCCAGCCAUGCCGCGUGAGUGAUGAAGGCCCUAGGGUUGUAAAGCUCUUUCAGUGGGGACGAUAAUGACGGUACCCACAGAAGAAGCCCCGGCUAACUUCGUG
rnacentral:rRNA from 1 species